rnacentral:misc_RNA from 1 species
CGAAGUUAGAACGUCUUAGAGAGAUGCAGGUGCCGCUCAGCGAUGUCCAGGUCCUGCAGGAUCCCGCCGAUGCGGAAACCCUUGUCGGCGGCGACAAGGAGGAGACCUUCGCCAACAUGAAGGAGUGGAAGCGCCAGUACAUGCGUGGCAUCUCGCACACGCCCUCGCAGGCGGGAGUCUACUACGAGGCCUUGAAGGGAUCCAGCCACUCGCUGGCCAAAGGAUCUCGCAAUUUCCGGCCUGGCAGCAUGAGACGAGUUCGCCGACGAGCUGUCUUCAAGAAUGGUGACUGCAAUGUGGUGCAGAAGCACCUGCAAAGACGCCGCGUUCGAUUCCUGCAGGACAUGUACACCACUAUGGUGGAUUGGCAGUGGCGCUGGACUCUCCUGGCCUUCGCACUCAGCUUCAUCCUCUCCUGGCUCUUCUUUGCGCUCAUUUGGUGGCUGAUUAUCUACACACACGGAGACUUGGAGGAGCCUCAUCUGCCAGACAACCAAGAGGAAUCUGGUUGGGCGCCUUGUGUUUCGGCAAUCGAUGGCUUUACUUCCUGCUUCCUGUUCUCCAUUGAAACGCAGCACACCAUUGGCUACGGAGUGCGCACCACCUCGCCCGAGUGUCCAGAGGCCAUCUUUAUGAUGUGCUUCCAGUCCAUCUACGGCGUGAUGUCCUCAGCAUUUAUGGCCGGAAUAGUAUUUGCCAAAAUGACGAGGGCCAAGCAGCGGGCACAGACUUUGUUGUUCUCCAAACACGCCGUAAUUUGCCAGCGGGAUGGCACCCUAUCGCUGAUGUUCCGCGUGGGAGACAUGCGAAAGUCCCACAUCAUUGGAGCCGGAGUGAGGGCUCAGUUGAUAAGGACAAAGAGCACCAAGGAGGGUGAGGUGAUGACGCAGUACUUCACAGAACUGGAGAUCGGUACCGAUGACUCUGGCUCUGAUUUGUUCUUCAUCUGGCCCAUGGUCAUCGAGCACAAAAUCGACGAGAACUCACCGCUUUAUAAUCUCAACGCCACCGAUAUGCUGCAGGAUAAGUUUGAGAUUGUGGUGAUACUGGAGGGCACCGUGGAGUCCACUGGACAGAGCACCCAAGCCAGAUCCAGCUACAUAAACACUGAGAUCCUUUGGGGCCAUCGUUUCGAUCCGGUGGUGCUGUACAACAAGGACCUGCAGGCCUAUGAAAUUGACUAUGGUCGAUUUAACGAAACCACCCAGGUGGACACGCCGUUGUGCAGUGCACGGGAAUUGAACGAGAUCUACAAGAUCCAGGAGGGAUUCCGCACACCAGAAACCACCUUUACCAUGCGUCAACUGUCCCACAAUCAUUCUGAUCAGGCCUCCUAGGCGCAGAUUGCAGUGUUUUGUCCCCUGUGUUGCUAUAGUUUGUAAUCGUGUUUGUCCCAUCUUCCCCCUCGAUUCAAUCGAGGUGCUCCUGCAGUUCCGGCUAUCAGACACCUGGAAGACAAAGCCGCCUGCGCUGGCAGCACUCGGUGCC